rnacentral:rRNA from 1 species
UCAACUUGAGAGUUUGAUCCUGGCUCAGAACGAACGCUGGCGGCAGGCCUUAUACAUGCAAGUCGAGCGCAUCCUUCGGGAUGAGCGGCGGACGGGUGAGUAACGCGUGGGAAUGUGCCCUUCUCUACGGAAUAGCCACUGGAAACGGUGAGUAAUACCGUAUACGCCCUUAGGGGGAAAGAUUUAUCGGAGAAGGAUCAGCCCGCGUUAGAUUAGGUAGUUGGUGGGGUAACGGCCUACCAAGCCUACGAUCUAUAGCUGGUUUUAGAGGAUGAUCAGCCACACUGGGACUGAGACACGGCCCAGACUCCUACGGGAGGCAGCAGUAGGGAAUCUUGGACAAUGGGGGAAACCCUGAUCCAGCCAUGCCGCGUGAGUGAAGAAGGCCUUAGGGUCGUAAAGCUCUUUCGCCUGUGAUGAUAAUGACAGUAGCAGGUAAAGAAACCCCGGCUAACUCCGUGCCAGCAGCCGCGGUAAUACGGAGGGGGUUAGCGUU